GCCGUCCAGGUUACAGAAGAGAACCUUCUCUAUCACCAAAACUAACUUGCCUUCAGAAUUUAAAAUGGUCCACAGCAGUCGAAUUUUGUAAAAAGAAAUCAUGCCCUAAUCCGGGAGAAAUACGAAAUGGCAGCUCUGUCCAGUGGAGUGACCCGUUGCCAGAGUGCAGAGGAAAAUCUCUAACUUCCAAGGUCCCACCAACAGUUCAGAAACCUACCACAGUAAAUGUUCCAACUACAGAAGUCUCACCAACUUCUCAGAAAACCACCACAAAAACCACCACACCAAAUGCUCAAGCAACACGGAGUACACCUGUUUCCAGGACAACCAAGCAUUUUCAUGAAACAACCCCAAAUAAAGGAAGUGGAACCACUUCAGGUACUACCCGUCUUCUAUCUGGGCACACGUGUUUCACGUUGACAGGUUUGCUUGGGACGCUAGUAACCAUGGGCUUGCUGACUUAGCCAAAGAAGAGUUAAGAAGAAAAUACACACAAGUAUACAGACUGUUCCUAGUUUCUUAGACUUAUCUGCAUAUUGGAUAAAAUAAAUGCAAUUGUGCUCUUCAUUUAGGAUGCUUUCAUUGUCUUUAAGAUGUGUUAGGAAUGUCAACAGAGCAAGGAGAAAAAAGGCAGUCCUGGAAUCACAUUCUUAGCACACCUACACCUCUUGAAAAUAGAACAACUUGCAGAAUUGAGAGUGAUUCCUUUCCUAAAAGUGUAAGAAAGCAUAGAGAUUUGUUCGUAUUUAGAAUGGGAUCACGAGGAAAAGAGAAGGAAAGUGAUUUUUUUCCACAAGAUCUGUAAUGUUAUUUCCACUUAUAAAGGAAAUAAAAAAUGAAAAACAUUAUUUGGAUAUCAAAAGCAAAUAAAAACCCAAUUCAGUCUCUUCUAAGCAAAAUUGCUAAAGAGAGAUGAACCACAUUAUAAAGUAAUCUUUGGCUGUAAGGCAUUUUCAUCUUUCCUUCGGGUUGGCAAAAUAUUUUAAAGGUAAAACAUGCUGGUGAACCAGGGGUGUUGAUGGUGAUAAGGGAGGAAUAUAGAAUGAAAGACUGAAUCUUCCUUUGUUGCACAAAUAGAGUUUGGAAAAAGCCUGUGAAAGGUGUCUUCUUUGACUUAAUGUCUUUAAAAGUAUCCAGAGAUACUACAAUAUUAACAUAAGAAAAGAUUAUAUAUUAUUUCUGAAUCGAGAUGUCCAUAGUCAAAUUUGUAAAUCUUAUUCUUUUGUAAUAUUUAUUUAUAUUUAUUUAUGACAGUGAACAUUCUGAUUUUACAUGUAAAACAAGAAAAGUUGAAGAAGAUAUGUGAAGAAAAAUGUAUUUUUCCUAAAUAGAAAUAAAUGAUCCCAUUUUUUGGU
rnacentral:lncRNA from 10 species